rnacentral:rRNA from 1 species
UACGUAGGGACCAAGCGUUGUCCGGAAGUCAUUGGGCGUAAAGAGCGUGUAGGUCGGCUUGUUAAGUCUUGCGUGAAAUCUCGGGGCUCAAACCCCGAGCGGUCGUGAGAAACUGGUACAGGCUAGAGUGCGGGAGAGGAGAGUGGAAUUCCGUGGUGUAGCGGUGAAAUGCGCAGAUAUCAGGAAGAACACCCGUGGCGAAGGCGGCUCUCUAGUACGGUACUGACGCUGAGACGCGAAAGCGUGGGGAGCGAACAGG